UGCACACAUGAUUGAUUUAAGUCUCUUUGGAUAAAAGCAUCUGCUAAAUGGCAUAUU
rfam:Salmo salar isolate Sally breed double haploid chromosome ssa09, whole genome shotgun sequence.